rnacentral:rRNA from 1 species
GAUGAACGCUGGCGGCGUGCCUAAUACAUGCAAGUAGGACGCAGUUGCGAACGGGUGAGUAACGCGUAGGUAACUACCUAUUAGCGGGGGAUAACUAUUGGAAACGAUAGCUAAUACCGCAUACUAGUAGAUGGACCUGCGUUGUAUUAGCUAGUAGGGCGGGUAAUGGCCUACCUAGGCCACGAUACAUAACCGAGUUGGAGGGGGUAGUGGCCAAACGGGGAUUGGAAAAAGGCUCAGACUCCUAAGGGAGGGAGCAGUAGGGAAUCUUCGGAAAUGGGGGGAACCCUGAACGAGCACCGCCGCGUGAGUGAAGAAGGUUUUCGGAUCGGAAAGCUCUGUUGUUAAGGAAGCGGUACUUAAACAGAAAGGGACGGCUAACUACGUGCCAGCAGCCGCGGUAAUUC